UACGUAGGGCGCAAGCGUUGUCCGGAAUUAUUGGGCGUAAAGAGCUCGUAGGCGGUCUGUCGCGUCCGUUGUGAAAACUCGAGGCUCAACCUCGGGCUUGCAGUGGAUACGGGCAGACUAGAGUGCGGUAGGGGAGACUGGAAUUCCUGGUGUAGCGGUGGAAUGCGCAGAUAUCAGGAGGAACACCGGUGGCGAAGGCGGGUCUCUGGGCAGUAACUGACGCUGAGGAGCGAAAGCGUGGGGAGCAAACAGG
rnacentral:rRNA from 1 species